AGUGAGCGGCAGAUGGUGCGCCUCCGAGGUAGACAAGGAUCUGAAUGUGCUAUCAAUUAUAUCCUGCCCGACUAUGCCCCACGCAACUGAACAGCAACCACCAGUGACUGACAGUGAGUCCCCAGCUCCAACUGAGGUGCCACCGCUAUGUGUUC